UACGUAGGGUGCGAGCGUUAAUCGGAAUUACUGGGCGUAAAGAGUGCGUAGGCGGUUCUUUGUGUCCGCUGUGAAAGCCCCCGGGCUUAACCUGGGAAUGGCAGUGGAAACUAGAGAAUUUGAAUCUGGCAGAGGGGGGUGGAAUGCCACGGUGUAGCAGUGAAAUGCGUAGAUAUGUGGCGGAACACCGAUGGCGAAGGCAGCCCCCUGGGCUGAGAUUGACGCUCAGGCACGAAAGCGUGGGGAGCAAACAGG
rnacentral:rRNA from 1 species